CGGGGUGCACCAGGCGCGAAAACUUUACAAUGCCGGCAACGGCGAUAAGGGGACCUCGAGUGCCAGGUUACAAAUCUGGCUGUCGUGAUGCCUAAAAAGCAUUGCAUAGCAAGGGCCGGGCAUGACCGGUGCCAGCCGCCGCGGUAACACCGGCGGCUCGAGUGGUAACCGUUAUUAUUGGGUCUAAAGGGUCUGUAGCCGGCCGGAUAAGUCUCUUGGGAAAUCCAGCAGCUCAACUGUUGGGCUUUCAGGAGAUACUGUCUGGCUCGAGGCCGGGAGAGGUGAGAGGUACUUCAGGGGUAGGGGUGAAAUCUUGUAAUCCUUGAAGGACCACCAGUGGCGAAGGCGUCUCACCAGAACGGACCUGACGGCAAGGGACGAAAGCUAGGGGCACGAACCGGAUUAGAUACCCGGGUAGUCCUAGCCGUAAACGAUACUCGCUAGGUGUCGGCCACGGUGCGACCGUUGUCGGUGCCGUAGGGAAGCCGUGAAGCGAGCCACCUGGGAAGUACGGCCGCAAGGCUGAAACUUAAAGGAAUUGGCGGGGGAGCAC
rnacentral:rRNA from 1 species